UAAGCGAGGUAUUUUGUUACCACAUGCCCUGGUUCUUAGUAUUCUUGAUAUGAUUUUCAUUAAUCAAGAAUGCAACAUCCAUCAGUCAAGUUGUCAUCUCCAUUAAUAUCUUAUCCUUUGUAUGUCUUUUCCAGGUACAUGAUGUCUAAUAAAUGGUCUAAUCCUUUGUUUCCCAUGGACUAUAUUGUGGUCACGAGCAUUUGGGAGUUGCUGUCAUAUCUUAAUCAAAGUAAAUUGUGUAUCAGUGUCUAGGUGAAGAUUAACAACAAUGCUUGAGUUCGAAUUCCUUACAGUGUCCUCCAUUUACUUGUGCAACCUUCUCAGAAGUAUGGCUUCCAUAUUCUGAUCAUCUUCGACAAUUCUUAUCAAAAGAGAAAGCCGUGUCCUUCUCAGAGGGUGGUUAGAGGCUGAAAUGAGCUUUUCUAAGUUGGACAUAAAAUUGAGUCUCUUCAUUACUAGCUAAAUCUCUACCGACACAAUUUUGAGGGAAGAAAGCCUCUUCAAGAAUUGUCUGUUCUUCGAAAUUUUCGUGAAAAUAUCUUUUUUGUUUGUCUAGGAAUGAAGAGAGUAGGAGAUGAGCAAGCGGAUGAAGAGAGAUAUGAAGACUCCUAAGAAAAACAAUUGUUUUAUUUUCUUUUCAAUUAUAUCUAAGUUUCAAUAACAUUGAAUUUGAAGUACACUCCAAAUAUCUGAACUAUUUAAUAAGGGUGUAAAGAUUCUGAAAUACAUUAGUAUUUGCAAAAUUGACAUCUAA